UACGAAGGGGGCUAGCGUUGUUCGGAAUUACUGGGCGUAAAGCGUGCGCAGGCGGUUUGCUAAGACAGGUGUGAAAUCCCCGGGCUUAACCUGGGAACUGCGCUUGUUACUGGCAAGCUGGAGUGUGGCAGGAGGGGGGUGGAAUUCCGACGUGUAGCAGUGAAAUGCGUAGAGAUGUGGAGGAACACCGAUGGCGAAGGCAGCCCCCUGGGCUAACACUGACGCUCAUGCACGAAAGCGUGGGGAGCAAACAGG
rnacentral:rRNA from 1 species